rnacentral:rRNA from 1 species
CGCGAAUGGCUCAUUACAACAGCCAUAGUUUAUUGGAUCUUCUCUCUACUUGGAUACCUGUGGUAAUUCUAGAGCUAAUACACGCACGAAAGCCUCGACUUCGGGAGGGGCGCAUUUAUUAGAACAAAACCAAUCGGGCUUGCCCGUCGUUUGGUGAAUCUGAAUAACUCAGUUGAUCGCACAGUCCUCGAACUGGCGACGUAUCUUUCAAGUGUCUGCCUUAUCAACUUUCGAUGGUAGUUUACAUGACUACCAUGGUUGUAACGGGUAACGGAGAAUAAGGGUUCGACUCCGGAGAGGGAGCCUGAGAAACGGCUACCACAUCCAAGGAAGGCAGCAGGC